rnacentral:rRNA from 1 species
AUUGGACGCUGGCGGCAGGCCUAACACAUGCAAGUCGAGCGGAUGAAGGGAGCUUGCUCCUGGAUUCAGCGGCGGACGGGUGAGUAAUGCCUAGGAAUCUGCCUGGUAGUGGGGGAUAACGUCCGGAAACGGGCGCUAAUACCGCAUACGUCCUGAGGGAGAAAGUGGGGGAUUUUCGGACCUCACGCUAUCAGAUGAGCCUAGGUCGGAUUAGCUAGUUGGUGGGGUAAAGGCCUACCAAGGCGACGAUCCGUAACUGGUCUGAGAGGAUGAUCAGUCACACUGGAACUGAGACACGGUCCAGACUCCUACGGGAGGCAGCAGUGGGGAAUAUUGGACAAUGGGCGAAAGCCUGAUCCAGCCAUGCCGCGUGUGUGAAGAAGGUCUUCGGAUUGUAAAGCACUUUAAGUUGGGAGGAAGGGCAGUAAGUUAAUACCUUGCUGUUUUGACGUUACCAACAGAAUAAGCACCGGCUAACUUCGUG